GAUGAACGCUGGCGGCGUGCUUAACACAUGCAAGUCGAACGGAAAGGCUCCUGCUUGCAGGGGUACUCGAGUGGCGAACGGGUGAGUAACACGUGGGUGAUCUGCCCUUCACUUCGGGAUAAGCCUGGGAAACUGGGUCUAAUACCGGAUAGGACCUCAUUUUGGAUGGUGUGGUGGAAAGUUUUGCGGUUUGGGAUUAGCUCGCGGCCUAUCCGCUUGUUGGUGGGGUAAUGGCCUACCAAGGCGUAGACGGGUAGCCGGCCUGAGAGGGUGUACGGCCACAUUGGGACUGAGAUACGGCCCAGACUCCUACGGGAGGCAGCAGUGGGGAAUAUUGCGCAAUGGGCGCAAGCCUGAUGCAGCGACGCCGCGUGGGGGAUGACGGCCUUCGGGUUGUAAACUCCUUUCGCUAGGGACGAAGCGCAAGUGACGGUACCUGGAGAAGAAGCACCGGCUAACUACGUG
rnacentral:rRNA from 1 species